rnacentral:sRNA from 2 species
GUGAAGUUGAUCACAAACAAACAUUAACCCCUUUGUUUGAACCGUGAAAGAUUUCUCCCAUCCCCUUUGUUCGUAUUUAUAGAAAAGACCUUUCAGCUUACGGAGCUAAAAGGUCUUU